rnacentral:rRNA from 1 species
GAUGAACGCUAGCGGCAGGCCUAACACAUGCAAGUCGAGGGAGAAGCCCUUUCGGGGGCCGAGACCGGCGCACGGGUGCGUAACGCGUAUGCAACCUACCUUUCACAGGGGGAUAGCCCGAAGAAAGUUGGAUUAAUACCCCAUAAUAUUAUUGUAUGGCAUCAUUUGAUAAUUAAAACUGCGGUGGUGAAAGGUGGGCAUGCGUCCUAUUAGCUGGUUGGAGUGGUAACGGCACCCCAAGGCUACGAUAGGUAGGGGUCCUGAGAGGGAGAUCCCCCACACUGGUACUGAGACAGGAACCAGACUCCUACGGGAGGCAGCAGUGAGGAAUAUUGGUCAAUGGUCGGAAGACUGAACCAGCCAUGCCGCGUGCAGGAAGAAUGCCUUAUGGGUUGUAAACUGCUUUUAUAUGGGAAGAAUAAGGCGUACGUGUACGUUGAUGACGGUACCAUAUGAAUAAGCAUCGGCUAACUCCGUG